UGCAAGUCGAACGAUGAAGCACCAGCUUGCUGGUGUGGAUUAGUGGCGAACGGGUGAGUAACACGUGAGUAACCUGCCCCCUACUCUGGGAUAAGCCUGGGAAACUGGGUCUAAUACUGGAUAUGACCAAUCACUGCAUGGUGUGUUGGUGGAAAGAUUUUUUGGUGGGGGAUGGACUCGCGGCCUAUCAGCUUGUUGGUGGGGUAAUGGCCUACCAAGGCGACGACGGGUAGCCGGCCUGAGAGGGCGACCGGCCACACUGGGACUGAGACACGGCCCAGACUCCUACGGGAGGCAGCAGUGGGGAAUAUUGCACAAUGGGCGAAAGCCUGAUGCAGCGACGCCGCGUGAGGGAUGACGGCCUUCGGGUUGUAAACCUCUUUCACCAGGGACGAAGCUAACGUGACGGUACCUGGAGAAGAAGCACCGGCUAACUACGUGCCAGCAGCG
rnacentral:rRNA from 1 species